UCUUUAACCAGCCUCGUGGUGGCUCUCCUGCCUCCUGCACUAAGAUCAAGACUGGUCCGGAGGACCUCCAGAAAACUAGCUGGACAUUACAAUGACCAGAUCACCCGCAGAAUACAGCUUUUUUGGGAAGAUGAGUAAAAUAUCAGAAGGAAACAUUAGCCAGAGGGUACUUCAGGAGACAAAGCUUUCAGUCAACUAAUACACCAAAUCUGACUGAGAAAAUUCAAUCAAGGACAUGUAAAGUUCCCUUCCAGGCGCAGAAUCCCAUGACGCCAUGAAUCAGGCGGAAUGUGACAAGGUUGCCUGGACAACUCCAGCUUUCGAGCCAGAAUUCCCUGGCAGCCCAGACCAGCGCCGGCUCACACGUCCAGCCUGGUCUCGUGGCAGGGAGGUCGGACUGGAAGCCUGCCCCAGUGCUAACUAUCAGGGUGACCUUGGUAGGGGACAAAAUGACUGUUGGCACCCUAGGAUCUUGGAGCGACGGAGCAGUUCUUCUUCAUCCCCAAAGGGAAAUUUAUCAUCAAUUUCAAGUCCUGAGUAUUAAGCUCACAAGGACAGGGAAGGAAGCUGCCUUGGGACUCGGGAGCUGGCUCCACGAGAUUACUUCAACAAAAGAGAUUUCUGAGGUGGCCUGAGGCAAAGGGUGGGGGGGAAGAAACUUCCGGACAGAGCUAUAAUUAGCUGGGGUUUUGUGCCUGGAAUGAGACAAAGCUCAGCCUAA